GUAGGGAAUAUUGGGCAAUGGAUGCAAGUCUGACCCAGCCAUGCCGCGUGCAGGAAGAAGGUCCUCUGGAUUGUAAACUGCUUUUUUGGGGGAAGAAUAGUUUUCUUGCGAGGAAAUGUGACGGUACCCUAAGAAUAAGCCACGGCUAACUACGUGCCAGCAGCCGCGGUAAUACGUAGGUGGCAAGCGUUGUCCGGAUUUAUUGGGUUUAAAGGGUGCGUAGGUGGUUUGAUAAGUCAGUGGUGAAAGCCGGUUGUGCAACAAUCGAGUUGCCAUUGAGACUGUCGGACUUGAGAGAAGUGGAGGUUCAUGGAAUGGAUGGUGUAGCGGUGAAAUGCAUAGAUAUCAUCCAGAACGUCGAUUGCGAAGGCAGUGGGCUGUACUUUAUCUGACACUGAGGCACGAAAGUGUGGGGAUCAAACAGGAUUAGAAACCCUGGUAGUCC
rnacentral:rRNA from 1 species